AGAGUUUGAUCCUGGCUCAGAACGAACGCUGGCGGCAUGCCUAACACAUGCAAGUCGAACGCCCGUAGCAAUACGGGAGUGGCAGACGGGUGCAAAACGCGUGGGAACCUACCCUAGGGUUCGGAAUAACCGCGGGAAACUGCGGCUAAUACCGGAUACGUCCUUCGGGAGAAAGAUUUAUCGCCCUUGGAGGGGCCCGCGUCUGAUUAGCUAGUUGGUGAGGUAACGGCUCACCAAGGCGACGAUCAGUAGCUGGUCUGAGAGGAUGAUCAGCCACACUGGAACUGAGACACGGUCCAGACUCCUACGGGAGGCAGCAGUGGGGAAUAUUGGACAAUGGGGGCAACCCUGAUCCAGCAAUGCCGCGUGGGUGAUGAAGGCCUUCGGGUUGUAAAGCCCUUUUGGCGGGGACGAUGAUGACGGUACCCGCCGAAUAAGCUCCGGCUAACUUCGUGCCAGCAGCCGCGGUAAUACGAAGGGAGCUAGCGUUGUUCGGAAUUACUGGGCGUAAAGGGCGCGUAGGCGGUUUCGAUAGUCGGGCGUGAAAUCCCCAGG
rnacentral:rRNA from 1 species